GAACGCAUAUUGCACCCAAGUGGGUAACCACAGGGUAUACUUGCCUGAGAAUAUGUAUGUUUAAUUAAUCAAUCGAAAGAUUUUCUUUCAUUUGAUUAGCAUUGAGGAGUUCGAACUAACAGAGAAGGCUCUGGUUCGUUCCUUUAAAAUAAUACAUAAAAAAGGGGAAAAAAAAAAAAAAAAAAUUACAAGAAGCAUUAUUGAUUACUCCGACGUGUCGGAAUAUUUUUGUGCGAUCUUAAGCGUAGUUUUUUUUUCUUUUUUCCUCUUUUAAAAAAACUGAGGGGGACCUCAAUUUUUCUUCAUAAUCUCAGUUUAAGUAAGACUACCCGCUGAACUUAAG
rnacentral:misc_RNA from 1 species